rnacentral:tRNA from 1 species
GCGCAGAUGGCGAAGCGGCUUAACGCAGCUGGCUCGCAAGCCGGCCAUUCGGAGGUUCGAAUCCUUCUCUGCGCUCCA